rnacentral:rRNA from 1 species
ACAGAGGGCGCGAGCGUUGUCCGGAAUCACUGGGCGUAAAGGGCGCGUAGGUGGCGGCAUAAGGCUGUGGUGAAAGUCUGGGGCUCAACUCCAGACCGGCCGCGGCGACUGUGUCGCUUGGGCACCGUAGAGGCAGAUGGAAUUCCGGGUGUAGCGGUGGAAUGCGUAGAGAUCCGGAAGAACACCGGUGGCGAAGGCGGUCGACUGGGCCAGUACUGACGCUGAGGCGCGACAGCGUGGGGAGCAAACAGGA